AACCCCAGUCGCGAAGGAGAACUGACGGAGCUGCUGCACCCAGAGAUCCCCAUGCUGGUAAGUUCAGUUUUUUUUUGUGAUUUUCUGGCCAACCAAGGCUCCCUAACAUGUGUUUUUGCAAGGAUACGUGUAAAAUCGGCCAAAACUGGCCAAAACCGGCCAAGCUGAGGUGAACUACCGCCGUGGGCGGAAGAGUCGGCGCCGGAACACGAUGGUGCCGCUGUGUCGGAACCUUAAAAUUAGUUGGAAAGGGUUUUCAACACCG
rnacentral:lncRNA from 1 species